UCUAUAUAUCGAAAUCAAUUAUAGUCACAAGUGACGGCGGUCCGGUGAAAUGCUUCCUGUAGCCGCGCAAUAUAGGGAAGCUCUGUACGUGGGCGAUAUAAAACAGUUCGACGCAGAAGCUUGAAGCAUAUGCGGUUUACCUGUACACGCCGAGGGCCAAGUCAUUCUAUAUAUUAAGGAAGAUACUAACUGUGUAAUUGUAAACGGCUGUGUGGUGUUAUAAUGGCAUGUAUUACUGUGGUAAUAUUUACUGCGGAACAACAAGAAAAGCUUUUAGCUGUGGCCGCAGCCAGCGAUACAAACUUUCAGCAUCUCGAUGACGUCAUAAGGAUUUCAAUGGAUAAAGCAGGAUAUACGCUCGACUCGUUCAACGCAAAACAAUACCAUUACACAUUUUUAUACGAAAAGUGGCAGUACUCUAUCACCAAGCAUUUGGUAUUAACAAGUCAAAUAAUUGGACGACUUGAAGAAAAGGGAUACAGAUACAAACUCACAACAGUUCGUUCCGACAGCGAGCAACUGGUUUUUGUAAAAUCCUGAAGUGUCAAAUUCUACUGUUACAAACAUAUUAACCUAUAGUGCUUUAAAUUGUCGCUGCAUUUUUUGUGAAAGCUUCCUUAGUUGUGGAAGUUAUACAAACUUAAGUUUAAUUUGUUAUAAUGUUUGUGUGGUGUUAUGCAGAGCCCGUUAACAUGUUUAUAUACGGACUCGUUUAAUGUGUUGGAUUAUAAACA